rnacentral:rRNA from 1 species
UACGUAGGGUGCAAGCGUUAAUCGGAAUUACUGGGCGUAAAGCGUGCGCAGGCGGUUUUGUCAGACUGUCGUGAAAUCCCCGGGCUUAACCUGGGAAUGGCGAUGGUGACUGCAAGGCUAGAGUUUGGCAGAGGGGGGUAGAAUUCCACGUGUAGCAGUGAAAUGCGUAGAUAUGUGGAGGAACACCGAUGGCGAAGGCAGCCCCCUGGGUCAAAACUGACGCUCAUGCACGAAAGCGUGGGGAGCAAACAGG